rnacentral:rRNA from 1 species
UCUGGUGUCCUAGGCAUAGAGGAACCACACCAAUCCAUCCCGAAUUUGGUGGUUAAACUCUACUGCGGCAAAAUAGCUCGAUGCCAGAA